CCAUGAGAAGAGGAGGAGGAGGAAGAGGAAGAGGAGGAGGAGAUAUUAGAUAACGAGGGUUCAAUUAUUCACUUAUGUAGGAAACAAUUAUUAUGGCUUUCUCAACGGCUAAAUUAUCUGAACUUCCACUCUACAGUUCAGUUCAAUUACGCUCUCACUCUUCUCUCAAGCUAUUGUUUUCUUCUCCAAAGCCCUCAUUUUUCGUAUUGAGGACCUUUUCCUCCUCUGCUUCUUCUUCUCUGCGUACUGCUGAACGAAGGGGCUACUCAGACGAUGGGAGAAACCCUAAGAACAGAAGGUACCCAUGGGACGACGAAACCCAUCGAAGAAAUACGACCAUUUCUCGGAAACCUCGGGUUCCUUCCUCUCCUUGGCUCAAAAAAUGGCCCCCUGCAACCUCUCCAGCCAAAGCAGAUACCAAAACAGACGGGGAAAGGAGAAUUGCCAAUUCUGAGAGGCGGCCUCAAGAGGGUGGAGAUGGGGCGGAGAGUCAGUAUUUUGAUGGAGACCGUGGGAGAAAUGCAAUUGCAAGGAUCGUUCAUCGGUUGCGGAAUUUAGGAUUGGGGUCUGAUGAUGAUUACGAGGAGGAUUUUGUCGAGGGAGAUGAUGCGGUGCCGCUUACUGGGGAAGAGAAAUUGGGUGACUUGUUGAAGCGGACUUGGAGUCGGCCCGAUUCAGUGGUUUCUGAUGAUAUGAAGAAUGGAGGAAUGGUUUUACCAUGGGAGAGGGAUGAUGAAGAGAGUGGGGAUGAAGAGGGGAUGGAAUUGAAAAAAAAAAGGAAAGUGAAGGCUCCGACGUUGGCAGAGUUGACCAUUGAGGACGCAGAGCUGAGGAGAUUGAGAACGAUUGGAAUGACGCUUAGGGACAGGAUUAAUAUACCCAAAGCAGGUGUUACUCAGGUCAUUCUUGAAAAGAUUCAUGAGCAAUGGAGGAAGUCCGAGCUGGUGAGGCUCAAGUUCCAUGAGACGCUUGCUCAUGAUAUGAAGACUGCUCAUGAAAUUGUCGAGCAUCGAACUGGAGGAUUAGUUAUAUGGAGAUCAGGAAGUGUUAUGGUCGUGCAUCGGGGAAGUAACUACGAAGGGCCGGCUUCAAGACUUAAAUCUACUGACAAAGAAGGCGAUGCUCUUUUUGUCCCAGAUGUUUUACCUAAUAACAAUUCAAUUUUGAAAAAUGAGGACAAUGCUGCUUCAACUGCAGAAGUUAGCAGUCUGGCAGUGAUGAGUCCUGGCCAUAAUGAGAGCAUGACUGAAGAGGAGACAGAAUACAACAGGCUCCUAGAUGGUUUAGGUCCUCGCUUUGUUGAUUGGUGGAGUACUGGUGUGUUACCUGUAGAUGCUGACUUGCUUCCUCAAAGUAUUCCGGGCUAUAGAACACCUUUCAGACUUCUUCCAACGGGAAUGCGGUCACGACUGACAAAUGCAGAGAUGACCAAUUUGCGGAAACUUGCCAAGUCACUUCCUUGUCAUUUUGCAAUGGGGAGAAAUAGAAAUCACCAGGGGUUGGCUGCUGCCAUUGUGAAGCUUUGGGAGAAAAGCCUUAUUGUUAAAAUUGCUGUCAAGCGGGGAAUUCAAAAUACAAACAACAAACUAAUGGCUGAGGAGUUGAAGAUACUAACAGGUGGUAUAUUACUUCUUAGAAACAAAUAUUACAUUGUCAUAUACCGUGGGAAAGAUUUUCUACCCACAAGUGUGGCUGCUGCUUUAGCAGAAAGACAAGAAUUGGCAAAAGAGGUCCAGGAUGUUGAAGAAAAAUCACGUAGUGGAUCAGUUGGUGAAGUUCCCAUGGGAGAAAUUGAAGGACCACCACUUGCAGGAACGUUGGCUGAAUAUCAUGAGGCUCAAGCCCGAUGGGGCAGAGAAAUUUCUGCAGAAGAACGUGCAAGGAUGAGAGAAGAAGCUUCCAAAGUAAAGACUGUCAGGAUAGUCAAGAAAAUUGAGCAUAAACAUGCAGUUGCUCAAGCCAAAAUACUAAGAGCAGAAAGACUUUUAGCCAAGAUAGAAGCAUCCAUGGUUCCAGUUGGUCCUGACGAUGACAAGGAAACAAUAACUGAUGAGGAGCGAUUUAUGUUUCGUAGAGUUGGACUGAGAAUGAAGUCGUACUUACCUCUUGGUAUUCGUGGUGUUUUUGAUGGUGUUAUUGAGAAUAUGCACUUGCAUUGGAAGCACAGAGAGCUUGUGAAGCUAAUCUCCAAACAGAAAAACCUAUCAUUUGUUGAAGACACAGCGAAGUUGUUGGAAUAUGAGAGUGGUGGAAUAUUGGUCGCUAUCGAAAGAGUCCCGAAAGGCCAUGCUCUUAUUUAUUAUCGUGGAAAGAAUUAUAAAAGGCCUAUCAGUCUGAGGCCAAGAAACCUUCUAACAAAAGCAAAAGCAUUGAAGCGCUCAGUUGCCAUGCAGCGUCAUGAGGCACUCAGUCAACACAUAUCUGAACUGGAAAGAACCAUAGAACAGAUGAAGUCCGAAAUUGGUGACUCUACAAAUGCAGAGGAUGGUAAUAGUUGGAGCUUAGAGGAUCAGAAUCGGUUUGAUGAUGUCUCAGAGUUCGCUAAUAGCGAAGAGGAAGGUUCCUAUGAGGACUCUGGUGGUGAUGAGGACGAGGAGAACCUUGAAGAGGAUACUGGUGCAGAAUCAGACUUUCUUGUGAACCAUGAUAUGGCAAGCAAGAACAGUUGAAACAACUAGUUUUGCUCUUCAUUUCACAAGUGGCAAUAUCAUUUCCAUUAGAGCCUCAAUGUACAACCACGAGUAUGUGAUUGAAACUAGUACUGUACUAUCGUGGCUCAGGGUUCCCUUCCUCGAUGGUGAAUGUGAUUGGAUUUUAUUACAUAAUGGAUGUGUCUUACAGUCGUCAGUGUUGGACCCAUUCCCUCUUCAGAAUAUCAAGAUAAUUUGGUGCACUGACAAGCAGGUACAUUGUCUUCGCAUUAUGUAUGAGUUCUAGUUUUCA